rnacentral:rRNA from 1 species
UACGUAGGCAGCGAGCGUUGUUCGGAAUUACUGGGCGUAAAGAGUGUGUAGGCGGUGCUCUAAGUUCGGUGUGAAAUCUCCUGGCUUAACUGGGAGGGUGCGCCGGAAACUGGAGUGCUCGAGCGUGGGAGAGGAAAGCGGAAUUCCUGGUGUAGCGGUGAAAUGCGUAGAUAUCGGGAGGAACACCUGUGGUGUAGACGGCUUUCUGGACCAUAGCUGACGCUGAGACACGAAAGCGUGGGUAGCAAACAGG